ensembl:lncRNA
GGAGUGCUGGGCUCAGGUGACCCUCUUGGAUAAUUGGUGGUGGCUUUUAUGGUCAAAUGACGUCCUGGAGCAGCAAAAUGCAGUGUGUGGUCCCCGUUGGAAGCUCGGCUCUAGGAGAAAGAGACAAGGCAGCGUUUAGCAUCUGCAGGGCAGAUUUCCUGUCUACACUGAAGAGUCAUAUUAAUCCCUUCAAGAAGAGGGUGCCAGGGCUGGAGAAAAGCGUCACCCCAGUGCAAUACUGUCCCCCACACUCAGGAAAGGACGUAACAUCGUUCUCCCUGUGUUCAUCAUUUCAAGCUUGUUCAACUACUGCUGAGUGACAAUAAGCAGCUGGAGUUAUUUGUGAAGAGAAACCUCAUGCUACUAUCCUAGAUUCCUAUUUCCUGCAUAAGAACUCAAUUCUCUCAAAUCAUCCCAUCCUCACCUUUGAGAAUAGCACUGAGGCAUGUAUAUUACCAUAUGUGAGAUAGAUCACCAGUCCAAGUUUGAUGCAUGAAGCAGGACACUCCAAGCCACACAACACCUCCAAAGAAGACAGUGAGGAAGGUUGGUACCCAGGGAUGUGAUGUCGGUGGAAGCAGCUCUCUUUUCCUGCAUUAUUCUAUCACCGUACAUGACUUGCCCAUUCAGCAGGCAACGAGAAAGGAGAGACUGCUCUUUUCCGCGGAAAGAAGUGUCAGCUGGAGCAAGGUUUUUAAGAAGAAUGAAGAAAUAUGAGAUCAGCAAACCACAUUUGACUUACUGGCUGGCAUUUGGUGCACAAAUCACCACAACCUGUACAUGGAGGGAAAGUCCUUUGGAAAGAAAUUCAUUUCCGUCACUGCUCUCUCUCUCCUAGCUGGGCUCUGGCACUUCCUGGGAAUCUUCGCAUUUUAUCAUCUCAAAGAUGUCGGCCCUGACUCAUAGACUGUACCGCGAAUUCCAUCUCAGCGUCAGUUUUAGAGAAUCCAGCCUAGGAUGCUGGUAACCCAGGAUGGUACUAAGAUGCAGUUGGUCUGCAGGGAGGUCUGGAGCUGGCUUGCUCACUCUCUGGUCAGCCAGAAGAGCCCUUCACUGCAGGGAAGAGGCGCUAAACGACCCUGAAGGUAAAAUAAUGGGCGAGUGGACGUUAGCCAUGAGCAUGUCUGUGAUGAGGCUUGGUGGCCAGGAAGGCGGGCAUGCAUGGUCCCUUCAACAUGGACACCCACUCCCCAAGGCUGAUUUCCACCAUUGCCAACUGUUGAGCCUGCUGCCGCAGAGAUUCACGCUGAGAUUCCACAGUGGCCCCAUCCCUCAAGGAGACCAGCUGGACACUUAACGGUGGAUUCUUUACUGUCUGAGCCACCAGGGAAUGCCUAAGCAAUCAAGGAACUUAAGACUUUGAGGAGAGUUUGGACAAGCAAGUAUGAUUUCUGCGAAGUGAAAGAGAAGAUAUGGGUGUCGUAGGAGCACCCACCAGAGUGGAAUUAAUUCAGCAAUUACAGCUUCUACGAAAAGGACAAUCAGAACAUUAUUAUUCAUAACAAAGAUCCACCUUCGUUUGCACAGUGCCUUUUAUGAGGUGUGACCAUAAUGUAAUAGAGUGGUUUUUUUAAAAAACAAACGUAACAAAUUAUAUUACAGGGAAUCUCAGUGUUGGAAAGGAUAUUAAAGGCCAUACUGUUCAACUCUC